GACGGACGCUGGCGGCGUGCUUAACACAUGCAAGUCGAACGGAAGUAAAGAUUUCGGUUUUUACUUUAGUGGCGAACGGGUGAGUAACGCGUGAGGAACCUGCCUUUCAGUGGGGGACAACAGUUGGAAACGACUGCUAAUACCGCAUGAUACUAUUGAGUGGCAUCACUUGAUAGUCAAAGAUUUAUUGCUGAAAGAUGGCCUUUGCGCUAUCGCUGAGGGAUGGACCCGCGGCGUAUUAGUUAGUUGGUGGGGUAAUGGCCUACCAAGACGAUGAUACGUAGCCGACCUGAGAGGGUGAUCGGCCACAUUGGGGCUGAGACACGGCCCAA
rnacentral:rRNA from 1 species